AAUAAAACUAUAUGUUCAAAGCUAGUCUAAAAAGCAGCUUGAUUGAUUUUGUAGCCAGUCUUGCCAUAUUGCCUGCCGACGGCGUUUUUUUAUUCUGAGAAUGCUCUAGAUGUAAGUUGUGGAAUAGGAAUCGCUAGGCUAUCGCGCAGCCUUAUCUUUUGAGGACGCAACCCCACUUAUUUCUGCGCCAGUUUUUCCCCUUCGCAGAUUUUCCCCUUGUUCCCACUCCAGCAGCCGGCUUCCUAGCUAGAGAAGCACAUCCAAAAAAAUUUGCCUCCUCCAAUCAACCUAGAGAAGAGCUCCUCUGUGCCACGAGCCAGCCUAGCUGCCGCCGCGCCUCUCCUUCUCUCUCUCAGCUUUUCCCUUAUCCUUCUUCACUCUCUCUAAUCUUUGUUUUCUCCAGGGAAGAGAGUCGCGAAGGAACAAUCCGCAGCACUAUGGACACCUUGGUCCUUGGAGCUCGUCCCACCGACGGGCCGGCCACCUCUCUGUCGCCCUCGUGCUCCUCCGCGUUGAUCCGAACAACAGCGCAGCACCACCGCCGCCUUGGAGCUCUACCCGCCUCCGACCGGCCGCCUCUCCAUCAGCCUCGGGCUCCUCCACCUCGAUCUGUCUGCCCCGUCGCCGGAUUCACGCCGGAGCAGCCGGAUUUGCCGCCCCACUGCCUUGGAGCUCUUCCCGCCUCCGAUCGGCUGCCUCUCCGUCGGACUCGGGCUCCUCCACCUCGAUUUAUCCGUCCCGUCGCUGGAUCCACGCCGAAGCAGCCGGAUUUGCCGCCCCUUGUCUGUGCCGCCGUCGGGAGGAGGAGGUCGCUCAAGAGGAGCACCCGUUCGUCCGCAAUGUGGGCCACGCAACUGGCUCCAGCCCUACCGCAGAUUGAGAAGGCGUUGGUAUGGCUGCGGUGCUCCGGUGGUCGGCCGACGGGGCGGCGGGAGGCUCGAGCCCGAGCCUGCGCAUGGAGGCGCUGUGUGCGGUUAGGCGACGGACGUCGGCAGAUGUAAAGUGUUUUUUUGGUGAAAACGGUUUUAUCAGAUCCACUUAGAAAAAGAACUGUGGGUUAAGUAACUAAAAUAUCAGGGACUUUUUUGCAAAAAGGUGCGGCGGACAACCAGAAGCAAUGCGUGGUUUAUUAUUAGGGGAGAUAUCAAACAUGACACUUUGGGAAUUGUGCAAAGAUGUAUAUUCAAACCUUCUCACAAAUGAAUCAGUUAAGUACUGGUACUGUGGGCAC